UGGGCGUGCAUGGCCGCAGUAGUAGUUACCAAGGAAGGUUUUAGUGAGAGCUCUGCGGCGGUUGAUAAACCCUCGUAAUUUCCAAUACAAAGUACUUUAUAUUUUUUUUUGUUAUCUUCAACCGUUCAUGUACUUCUAUUCUAAUACAGAUUACUAUAUAUUAUUAAAUUUGAAACCGACAUUGAUUGCUAAUAUUCUACCCGAUCACAUGACAUACACGGUUUUAGGCUAACAAUUAUAUACAUGGUGGUACAUGCUUGCCAGUUAUACAUGACAAUAACUAAAUGAAAAAGUGAGUUUCUUCAUCGAUUCAUUAAUGCAAUCACUGUUUUGAUAGCUACGUACAGAGUUUACUUAGAAACUGAAAAUAAAAAGAAGCUAAUUAAUGCUUCAAUAUAUAUAUAUAUAUAUCCUUGAUUUAGUCAAUACAUGUGAUGGCCUUGUUUUAUUUUGUUUUGGAAACUAUUUUAUCAAUGAAAAUAAAAACUUUACUUUUAUAUUAGUUAAAAAACGUCUUUUAAAUGAAAUAAAAAAUGAUUUAGAAAUUGCACUUGGCAAAACAUUAACAUGUUCACAAGUCUUCUUUUUUUACACAUCACUUUUUAGCCUCUACUCUAUUUAUUUCUGUUUUUUUAGUUUUAACAGAUCUCUUUGCUUUUUAUUUCUCUAUUCCUUUACAACUAUUUAACGGUGUUCACUACUGGAGGUACGCGAGAAUAUAUUGUUUAUGAAAAAGACUAAGGUUGUUGAUGGUUGGGGACAUAGCAAUUAUGAAUAUAGCAGCCAUUGGAUUGUUUUCAAACAAGUUUGAAAUUUAGGCCAUAUUAGUUAGUCGGAAGAACUACAGUACAUGAGAGAUGUCCCUAAGUCUUUGUGUAUUAAUGGUAUGUGCUCCUAUAAAUAGAACUCCAGUUGCCUAGCUUUCUCAUUACAAGAGCAAAGCAAGUUUUUACGGCUCUACUACAAUUUUCUGUCUUAUUAAGAUGGGAAAUUUACACAAGUAUGCUGCAGUACUUGCUUUUAUAUUUGCGUUGGUGAUAGGAACAUUUGAAUGCCGAACACUAAGAAAAGAAGAAUCUGUUGACACCUUCGGUGGAGGUGGCUUAGGUGGUGGUGCGGGUGGAGGUUUUGGGGGUGGUAGUGGUGGAGGUGUUGGAGUAGGAUUUGGACACGGUGGAGGUAUUGGAGCUGGUGGUGGCUUUCGAGGCGGGGCUGGAGGUGGUAGUGGUGGUGGAGGAGGAAUUGGAGGUGGUCAUGGUGGUGGUGCAGGUGGAGGCUUUGGAGGUGGAUUGGAGCUGGUGGUGGCUUUCGAGGCGGGGCUGGAGGUGGUAGUGGUGGUGGAGGAGGAAUUGGAGGUGGUCAUGGUGGUGGUGCAGGUGGAGGCUUUGGAGGUGGUAGUGGUGGUGGUGCAGGAGGAGGAAUUGGUGGUGGACACGGUGGUGGAUUAGGUGGAGGUGGUGGUGCGGGUGGAGGCUUCGGAGGAGGUAGUGGUGGUGGACAUGGUGGUGGAUUAGGUGGAGGUAGUGGUGGUGGUGCUGGAGGAGGAAUUGGUGGUGGACAUGGUGGUGGAUUAGGUGGAGGUGGUGGUACAGGUGGAGGCUUCGGAGGAGGUAGUGGUGGUGGUGCUGGAGGAGGUAUUGGUGGAGGACAUGGUGGUGGAUUAGGUGGAGGCGGUGGUACAGGUGGAGGCUUUGGAGGUGGUAGUGGUGGUGGUGCAGGAGGAGGAAUUGGUGGUGGACAUGGUGGUGGAUUAGGUGGAGGUAGUGGUGCAGGUGGAGGCUUCGGAGGUGGUAGUGGUGGUGGUGUAGGAGGAGGAGUCGGUGGUGGACAUGGUGGUGGAUUAGGUGGAGGUGGUGGUACCGGUGGAGGCUUUGGAGGUGGUAGUGGUGGUGGCGUGGGAGGAGGAAAUGGCGGUGGUGGUGGUAUAGGUGGAGGAGGAGGUGUCGGAGGAGGCAUUGGAGGUGGUUCUGGAGUAGGUGGAGGUGUUGGAGGUGGCUUUGGAGGUGGACAUGGUGGUGGUGCAGGAGGAGGCAUUGGUGGGGGUGGUGGAAGAGGUGGAGGUGCAGGCGGAGGAUUCGGGGGUGGAUCUGGAGGAGGUGCGGGAGGCGGCUUUGGAGGUGGUCAUGGUGGGGGUGUAGGAGGUGGUUUUGGAGGUGGUGGUGAUGAUCGAGUUUAAAUCAAUAUUCAUGAUGUUAUAUAAAAUGUAAUGUACUAUAUAUGAAUCUAAUGAAAUAAAUGCAUCUUUUUAUUAAAUAUGAUUUGGGCUUAUUCGUAGAAUUUAUUCAUAUUUAAAAAUAUCUAAUGUUAAUUAGAAUAAUUUGAUUUAAGUAAUAUGAUGAAAGUUAAAUCACAAUUUUUUUUUUGAUAUUUAGUUUAAUUUUAAUUUCUUAACUUAAAAAACA
rnacentral:lncRNA from 1 species